CCCUGGGUGGUGUAAACAGUUAACAUGCUCGGCUACUAACCAAAAGGUUGGUGGUUCAAGUCCACCCAGAGGCG
rnacentral:tRNA from 1 species